UUUGAAGGCUUUAGGUGUUA
rnacentral:siRNA from 1 species